ACGAACGCUGGCGGCGUGCUUAACACAUGCAAGUCGAACGGAAAGGCCCUGCUUUUGUGGGGUGCUCGAGUGGCGAACGGGUGAGUAACACGUGAGUAACCUGCCCUUGACUUUGGGAUAACUUCAGGAAACUGGGGCUAAUACCGGAUAGGAGCUCCUGCUGCAUGGUGGGGGUUGGAAAGUUUCGGCGGUUGGGGAUGGACUCGCGGCUUAUCAGCUUGUUGGUGGGGUAGUGGCUUACCAAGGCUUUGACGGGUAGCCGGCCUGAGAGGGUGACCGGCCACAUUGGGACUGAGAUACGGCCCAGACUCAUACGGGAGGCAGCAGUGGGGAAUAUUGCAAAAUGGGCGGAAGCCUGAUGCAGCAACGCCGCGUGCGGGAUGACGGCCGUCGGGUUGUAAACCGCGUUCGCCUGUGACGAAGCGUGAGUGACGGUAAUGGGUAAAGAAGCACCGGCUAACUACGUG
rnacentral:rRNA from 1 species